rnacentral:tRNA from 1 species
ACCUGGCUGGCUUAGUUGGUAGAGCAUGGGACUCUUAAUCCCAGCCUUGUGAGUUCAAGUCCCACAUUGGGUG